AAUUGAAGAUCCAACCUCUGCUAGAGUAGAUUUUUUCCAAUAUAGCAUUGUAUUGACGUGCACGAGGGCUCUUCGCUACGACGAUGACAUCACAUUAAAAACGUAGCAGCAUGUUUACAACCACCAGUCGAUGCAGGACAAUCAUGGCAUGUCACCUGUAACACAUCUUCUUGCUCAUCUACAAUAAGUGUGACAGAAUAUGGCUUGGUGAUUUUAUGUUCUGGAUAUAUUGUACAUCCUUUGGUACAUGUAUUUUGGAUCCUUUGUAGCUGCACGUACCCAAUAACAUCGUCACCGUACGAUUCUCUUGUAGAUCUGUGAAAAAAAAAAAACUAUUAAGUCUUAAUUUGGCAGUAACAUAAGGUAUAAAACAUAACCUAACACUUUCUAACAUUAUUUUUCAAAUUAGGUAUUCCU